rnacentral:rRNA from 1 species
UACGUAGGCAGCAAGCGUUGUCCGGAAUCACUGGGCGUAAAGGGCGCGUAGGUGGCGACCCAAGUCCGUGGUGAAAGCUCGUCGCUUAACGACGAGUCGGCCACGGAGACUGGGUGGCUUGAGCACUGUAGGGGCUAAUGGAAUUCCGGGUGUAGCGGUGGAAUGCGUAGAGAUCCGGAAGAACACCAGUGGCGAAGGCGGUUAGCUGGGCAGUUGCUGACACUGAUGCGCGACAGCGUGGGGAGCAAACAGG